UACGUAGGGUGCAAGCGUUGUCCGGAAUUAUUGGGCGUAAAGAGCUCGUGGGCGGCUUGUCGCGUCGUCCGUGAAAACCCGGGGCUCAACCCCGGGCUUGCGGUCGAUACGGGCAGGCUCGAGUUCGGUAGGGGAGACUGGAAUUCCCGGUGUAGUGGUGGAAUGCGUAGAUAUCGGGAGGAACACCAGUGGCGAAGGCGGUUGCCUGGAGCUUUGCUGACGCUGAUGCGCGAAAGCGUGGGGAGCGAUCCGG
rnacentral:rRNA from 1 species